rnacentral:rRNA from 1 species
CACUCCUACGGGAGGCAGCAGUGGGGAAUUUUGGACAAUGGGCGAAAGCCUGAUCCAGCAAUGCCGCGUGAGUGAAGAAGGCCUUCGGGUUGUAAAGCUCUUUUGUCAGGGAAGAAACGGUGAGAGCUAAUAUCUUUUGCUAAUGACGGUACCUGAAGAAUAAGCACCGGCUAACUACGUGCCAGCAGCCGCGGUAAUACGUAGGGUGCAAGCGUUAAUCGGAAUUACUGGGCGUAAAGCGUGCGCAGGCGGUUUUGUAAGUCUGAUGUGAAAUCCCCAGGCUCAACCUGGGAAUUGCAUUGGAGACUGCAAGGCUAGAAUCUGGCAGAGGGGGGUAGAAUUCCACGUGUAGCAGUGAAAUGCGUAGAUAUGUGGAGGAACACCGAUGGCGAAGGCAGCCCCCUGGGUCAAGAUUGACGCUCAUGCACGAAAGCGUGGGGAGCAAACAGGAUUAGAUACCCUGGUAGUCCCAUG